rnacentral:rRNA from 1 species
CCGGCAACCGGCGCACGGGUGAGUAACACGUAUGCAACCUGCCCGUCUCAGGGGGAUAAUCGUCGGAAACGGCGUCUAAUACCCCGUAUGAAGCUGGACGGCAUCGUCUGGUUUUGAAAGAAUAUCGGAGACGGAUGGGCAUGCGGCGCAUUAGCUAGUUGGCGGGGUAACGGCCCACCAAGGCGACGAUGCGUAGGGGUUCUGAGAGGAAGGUCCCCCACACUGGUACUGAGACACGGACCAGACUCCUACGGGAGGCAGCAG